rnacentral:rRNA from 1 species
GAUGAACGCUCGCUACAGGCUUAACACAUGCAAGUCGAGGGGAAACGACAUCGAAAGCUUGCUUUUGAUGGGCGUCGACCGGCGCACGGGUGAGUAACGCGUAUCCAACCUGCCCAUCACUUGGGAAUAACCUUGCGAAAGUAAGACUAAUACCCAAUGACAUCCCACGAAGACAUCUGAAUGGGAUUAAAGAUUUAUCGGUGAUGGAUGGGGAUGCGUCUGAUUAGCUUGUUGGCGGGGUAACGGCCCACCAAGGCAACGAUCAGUAGGGGUUCUGAGAGGAAGGUCCCCCACAUUGGAACUGAGGCACGGUCCAAACUCCUACGGGAGGCAGCAGUGAGGAAUAGUGGUCAAUGGGCGAGAGCCUGAACCAGCCAAGUAGCGUGCAGGAGGACGGCCCUAUGGGUUGUAAACUGCUUUUAUAAGGGAAUAAAGUGGGUCUCGUGAGACUUUUUGCAUGUACCUUAUGAAUAAGGACCGGCUAAUUCCGUG